ACUAAAAAGUACAAAGAAUCUGCGUAGGCUUGUUUGUGAAAAGAUAUAGAUAUCAUAGCGAUAAUGCACAUGAGAAUUAACAUUUCUCAACUAUAUGACAGAGUUGUCUUCAAAAUUGAAGGACCCAUACUUAUGACUUAUCACUUUUAUAUAUAUAAGUUACAACUUACAAACCAACGUCAAGGCACUGUUGAAGCAUCAUCGGGAUCUUGAUCGCAAUUACCAUCGUGUUUUUUUGCUUGUUAACG